GGGGAAGGAGUGCAUCCCAGAGCUCCAGAGAGGUUGGAUUUAGCAGUGCCCUUGACCGAAAUCAUCAAGGCGGCAGCUCCAACCAAAGUGAGAUGGACACCAGAAGCAGCAUUUCAAAAGGUCAGAAGUUCACAUAAAUCAUGGACCACGCCCCUCUGCAAUGGCUUCAACACUUGAAGACUGAUAAUGCAAGGCUGAUGAGAUGGGCUCUGUCUUCAACCAUACUGUUUUGUGGUGAAGCAUCAUCCAGG